rnacentral:rRNA from 1 species
GACGAACGCUGGCGGCGUGCUUAACACAUGCAAGUCGAACGAAGAGCGAUGGAAGCUUGCUUCUAUCAAUCUUAGUGGCGAACGGGUGAGUAACGCGUAAUCAACCUGCCCUUCAGAGGGGGACAACAGUUGGAAACGACUGCUAAUACCGCAUACGAUCUGACCUCGGCAUCGAGGAUAGAUGAAAGGUGGCCUCUAUUUAUAAGCUAUCACUGAAGGAGGGGAUUGCGUCUGAUUAGCUAGUUGGAGGGGUAACGGCCCACCAAGGCGAUGAUCAGUAGCCGGACUGAGAGGAUGAACGGCCACAUUGGGACUGAGACACGGCCCAGAGUCCUACGGGAGGCAGCAGUGGGGAAUCUUCCGCAAUGGACGAAAGUCUGACGGAGCAACGCCGAGUGAGUGAUGACGGCCUUCGGGUUGUAAAGCUCUGUUAAUCGGGACGAAAGGCCUUCUUGCGAAUAGUUAGAAGGAUUGACGGUACCGGAAUAGAAAGCCACGGCUAACUACGUG